UUUCUCGUUUUCGCACGUAGCUAAGCUGUAAUAUUAUCAUUUCAGCUUCCCUGAAAACAGCGUGGUGGAUUUCAAGGGCAAGUCAAGUUAAAAACAGAGCUGAGAAUGGGUCACACAUACCCUUAACACCAAGACGCAACCUCAGGUAGCAAUCUCAUGUACGCAGAUUAUCAUCUACUGGAUCAGCAUCAAGGCAACCUGGGAGCUCCGAGGGGAAAGAGGGAAUGGAGCUGGCAGAGAGAGAGAGGCAGAGGCAGAGCCUGGGCCGUCCGUCAGCUCCCAGAUGGAGAGUCAACAGCCCCCAGGUCUGGAGGUGGCUGAUGAGGAAGAGGAGGAACAGCUGGGUCCAGUACCUGAUGCACGGAUGCGUAGAAGGCAAAGGAGAGGAGAGCAGUGGAAAUCUAUGGGCUGGUCCUUGGGAAGGAAGAGUCACCGCUGCUAACGAAGACUUACCCUAGCUCUGGGGAUAAAAGGCAGGGGCUGGAGAUGAAUAGAUGUGGUAGACAACUUCAUCUCCCAAUUGGCCGGACUUGUUAGCCUGAAUUGAGGGAGAGACUUUUUGCUGGGGCUGCCGGUGCUUCUAAUAAAGGAAUCUUUUGAGUUCA